rnacentral:hammerhead_ribozyme from 1 species
AUCCUGCUAACGAAUCACAAAUAGGACGAAAUGCGCGUCCUGGAU